rnacentral:other from 1 species
AUUUCCCUGCUCGGCUCGUGAUGGAGUGGUUGUUUUUGAGCCAACACAUCUUUUAUGGGAAGCCCAGUCUAUUCAUGGUGUGCGAACCUCCCUCGAGGAGGGGGCCUGAAGUGAAAGCAGGCGUCCCGACCUGGUAAGCCAGGUUCAAAAGAUCCGUUCCACACGGCUUUGUGGGGAUUCA